ACACACACACACACACACACACACACAUACACACACACACACGCAUGUUAAUAAAGCUGAAAGGGACACAUUCAUUUGUUUACUUGGUAAAUUCUCUUGUCUGAUAGAUUUAUCAACUUAAGGCACUGUUAUAAGAUUUUUUUUCCAAACAAUGAGCACUAUGAGCAAAGUCAUU